rnacentral:rRNA from 1 species
AGUGAACGCUGGCGGUAGGCCUAACACAUGCAAGUCGAACGGCAGCACAGUAAGAGCUUGCUCUUACGGGUGGCGAGUGGCGGACGGGUGAGGAAUACAUCGGAAUCUACUUUUUCGUGGGGGAUAACGUAGGGAAACUUACGCUAAUACCGCAUACGACCUACGGGUGAAAGCAGGGGAUCUUCGGACCUUGCGCGAUUGAAUGAGCCGAUGUCGGAUUAGCUAGUUGGCGGGGUAAAGGCCCACCAAGGCGACGAUCCGUAGCUGGUCUGAGAGGAUGAUCAGCCACACUGGAACUGAGACACGGUCCAGACUGCUACGGGAGGCAGCAGUGGGGAAUAUUGGACAAUGGGCGCAAGCCUGAUCCAGACAUACCGCGUGGGUGAAGAAGGCCUUCGGGUUGUAAAGCCCUUUUGUUGGGAAAGAAAAGCAGCAGGUUAAUACCCCGCUGUUCUGACGGGACCCAAAGAAUAAGCACCGGCUAACUUCGUG